UACGUAGGGUGCAAGCGUUGUCCGGAAUUAUUGGGCGUAAAGGGCUCGUAGGCGGUUUGUCGCGUCGGGAGUGAAAACCAUGAGCUUAACUCAUGGCUUGCUUUCGAUACGGGCAGGCUAGAGUUCGGUAGGGGAGACUGGAAUUCCUGGUGUAGCGGUGAAAUGCGCAGAUAUCAGGAGGAACACCGAUGGCGAAGGCAGGUCUCUGGGCCACUACUGACGCUGAGAAGCGAAAGCGUGGGGAGCGAACAGG
rnacentral:rRNA from 1 species